UCUGUAAUUUAGGUAAAACAUUUUAUUUCUACCCUUUUUAUGAAUUACACCUCUUACAGAGCUAACUGUACUGCAAACUUGUCACCACACACACCCCAAGAGGUUUGAUACCUGGGUCAUUCACCAGAUCAUGGUGUGGAAUUAUUUAGUUCACUAACUCUUAGACCUGGACCUCAGAGUAUCAAUCAUGACUACCUGUUGAAUUAGGAUUCUCCAAAAGUUUCUCUUCUUGGAUUCAUGACAGCAGUCGAUCAAACAGGUGCAAAAAAGUUUCAUAAUAAAACACAUGGGGCCAAUGCUAAGAACAAGAACAACUUGUCUUGCAUGUAUACUUUGUUACCAGAGAUUAAUCUUUCUAGCUGUAGUUCAGGCAUGUCUGGCUUCUUCCCUGGCUGGGUUGGGGAGAACAGCCUACACUACCUGCAGCAUGUUCCCCCUGGUCUGAGUUAGGCUUCCUAACCUGUCUCAACCUAUUAGUUCCCAACCUAUUAGUGACUCCAUCUAAGCAGCCUCUCUUGAAUUUACCCCAACCCCUCCUUUUUCUGCAGUCAAGCCUUUCUAAAUAUUUAGAAUAUUCUUUGAAUUUAGGCUCAUGUUAAAGCAGAAAACAUGCUAGCUAAACUUCAGCCAAUCAAAAAAAAUCCCCACUGAUGGCUCAAUCGUUCUUCUCCUCUGAUGCUGUCAUACCUCAGUCACUAUUUUAACUUUGCUGCUCACUUUAAUAACCUCUUUACAACUUCCUUUUAUUUACCUUUUCACUUAACUUAGGUAACUGAACAGGCAGCCAUGAAUAAACAUAAAAAUACAAAUGUGUUCCCCAUUCAUGCAGGCUAAAGUUGAAUCAAGCACUAAACCUUGCCUGUAUUCACUUUCACAAAUGACACAACUUCUCUCUCAAACUGCAAAAUUUACAGGAAGAAAAAAUUCCAUUGUAUAUUUAUUAUAUCUACCUUCAGUGCAUAUGGAAACCUAAAACACUUGCAUAUGUUACUGGCUAACAUGAGAACUACCCUUAAUUAACAAAGGCACCAAAGUAAAACAAGCAGGUGGAAGGAAGAAUUUUCUCAUUUUAUAUUCCAAAAACGAUGCUUCUUUCAUUGAACUUCUUGAUCAAGUGCAUGGGAUAUUUUAAAGUACAAUUCCAAAGCACAUAAUAAUUAAAGCAAAAAUAGAAUUGCUAUUCCAGUUGGACUAUAUCAUCUAAAGGUAGCCUAUGAACUUCUUUGGAAAAUGCAACUGGACAGUGCUGUACCGAAUGGCUUACAUAUUAAGAAAUAUGAGGAGAAUGUUUAGUUUCCCCUUAGUUUCUGGAUACAUACACAGAUCUGAAGGCCUGAAAAAUGGCAUGUCACUGCAAAAAAAAAUUAGUGAACACCCAUGCUGUAAGGCUUUUCAAACAUUUAACUUGUUGUAAACCAAAUUUUUCAGAUAGAGCAAAGCUGUUUUCUCCAAGGAUGAAGCUCAAGAUAAGUGUAAUGCCCUCUGUGUACUUGGAUUUAAAAACCUCCAUUUUUUAAUAUGGAAAAAAAACCCAUUUCACUUGUCAAAUUAUUGUAAACCUAAACUUUUAGUUAACUUUUGAAAAAACAAGUCACAGGUGGGCCAAGAGCUUAAGUAAUUUUAUUUUAAAUGUUUAAAUCGAUUGGCUAAAAUAUGGAGAUUCAUUUCCUCAAACACAAAUGAAGAUAUGUUUCCUGUUAUUACACUCAGGUUCACUACAAUGCUACAACUAUCAAGACAGCAAAACCAAGGACUGCCACAAAAUUAACUUUCUACCAGAUUAAAUGCUAUUUUCCUUUGAAAGAAACAAGGCAACUUUAGGAUGUCAUGUAAAAAUAACAUCCUUACCUUUAAAUGGUUUGGGAAAUGUGACUUUUUUUCCCCUUCUCUUUAUUCCUCUGAGGCCCUUAGAUUGGAGGCAGCACUUUGCAAGAUCAUUUUUUAGUCUGUGCAGGCUCUUCCUACCUGCUUUGCAUUUUGCUGGAAGUUAGUGAUAUUUUAAUGAAGGUUUGCACUUUUGGUGCUUGGUUUGCAGGGUGUUCAUAUGGAGGCAUGAAAAGGAAGUUCUCUAAGAGCAUGAACUCAACAAAAAAUAUGAUUUUACUACUCUGCUCUAAAAUUUUGCUUAGACAGAAAGCCAAGCUUGAAGCUUCCACUUCAAAGUCAGAUCUAAGCAACAGCACCCAAGUCUGCCAUUCCAGGUCCUUCAAAGCCAAGCCAAGCCAAGCCAUGUUCCAGGCCAGCCCUGUCCAGUUGCUUUGCUAUUUAUUAUGCUAUGGCAUCAGGACUACUUCCAGAGCUAACCCACUGACUGACAAAUUCCUCCAUCCCCAAUUAUGUGGUGUGCAUGGCCAGAGAUCAACAGUUACUCUGGGGAGCUUACAGUAGUCCGUGAGGCAACUGGGUAAAAUUCGACAUCACAGCAAGUUGUUCUGCUGCAGAACAGAAGUCAUCCCUCUGUGGGACAAAGACUGCACAAACAUUUGCACAGAAUGGUCAUGCAAAGAACACCUCCUCAAUGGUCCUGUAUUUCACACUACAUAAGAAAAAUGUAAACUCUGAAGGAGGCCAGUGUGAAUUAAACUAAAUAUAAAGUGUGA